UUUAACUUACCUAUUACUCCUAAGUCCUGUGAAAUACCCCUUGGAUCCAGAUUGAUUAUACCUGAUUUUCUCCACUGUGUGUAAAAGGUAUAUUGUGAUUGUAGAUUUUUAUAUGUCAUGUCUGUAAGAGUCUCUAAUUUUCUGAUCUCUGCAUCACUGUUCCAAAUCCAAGAUCUCCAGCUCCUUCUGGAAAGGCUCACACUGCUGUGGCCACCCCAGGUGGCCCUGAUGUCCCUAGCGGCCUUGAUCUCAACACCACUUUCCAUGGUCAGCAAGGGGAGCAACCAAACCACAGCCCUCCUGCCUCUCCCAACCUGCUUCACUCAACACCAUCACCCCUGAGCCAGAGCCCAGGAUUUUUCCGUAAAUUGCUGGGAAGGUUCAGAAAGAGGACUCUCCCUCAGGAGGGAAGACGAGCCCCGUCAGCCAAGAUUCCCAGCGGAAGCCCCCCGGGUGAAGUCCCCCUCGCUGGGGGCACGUCCAGUGACACUUCGGCACUUGGGCAGCCGCAGGACCUGCAACCUGCCCCACCUGACUGUCCCCCUGCCUCUCCUGUCCCAUCCCGCCACUCUGUCCCUGUGUCCCCGCCAGUGCGGGCGAGAAGGUCCCUGUUCUCCCGCUUCUGCUGCUGCAUGGCAGCUGAUGGAACUUCACGAAACGCUUGUUAAAGAAUGUGCAACUUUCAGAUGCGUGUGUCAAAGAAAUUAACAAUUUAUAAAGAAAAUAUCAAUUUACCUUUC